GAGCAGCCGUUGCGCGCCGGCUGCGGUUUCGCAUGUCAGUGUGCGCAGCGCCGCUCAUCCUUGGCACGUGCCGCCGCCUCUUCACUGAGCGUGGCGUUGCGCGCCAUACGUUACUUUGAAAAAAUUAGAGUGUUUCAAGCAGGCUGUAUGCUUUGAAUACAUUAGCAUGGAAUAACAAUUUAGGACUUCGGUUCUAUUUUGUUGGUUUCUAGGACUGAAGUA
rnacentral:rRNA from 1 species